CAGUAGCCGCGGUAAUACGGAGGGUGCAAGCGUUAAUCGGAAUUACUGGGCGUAAAGCGCACGCAGGCGGUUUGUUAAGUCAGAUGUGAAAUCCCCGAGCUUAACUUGGGAACUGCAUUUGAAACUGGCAAGCUAGAGUCUUGUAGAGGGGGGUAGAAUUCCAGGUGUAGCGGUGAAGUGCGUAGAGAUCCGGAGGAAUACCGAUGGCGAAGGCGGCCCCCUGGACAAAGACUGACGCUCAGGUGCGAAAGCGUGGGGAGCAAACAGGAUUAGAUACCCCAGUAGUCCCUGUCUCUUAUAC
rnacentral:rRNA from 1 species